rnacentral:rRNA from 1 species
CGGCGGGCCUAACACAUGCAAGUCGCACGAGAAAAGGGCUUCGGCCCCGAGUAAAGUGGCGGACGGGUGAGUAACACGUGGGUAAUCUACCUUACUGUGGGGGAUAACAGUCCGAAAGGAUUGCUAAUACCGCAUACGUCGGCGAGGUCUUCGGACUUUGCCGGGAAAGCCGGCCACUCCAUGGAAGCUGGCGCAGGAAGAGGAGCCCGCGGCCCAUCAGCUAGUUGGUAGGGUAACGGCCUACCAAGGCAAAGACGGGUAGCUGGUCUGAGAGGAUGAUCAGCCACACUGGGACUGAGACACGGCCCAGACUCCUACGGGAGGCAGCAGUGGGGAAUAUUGGGCAAUGGGCGCAAGCCUGACCCAGCCACGC